GAAAAUCGCCGAGAAAGAUUCUUGGUGCUGAGAUCAAGACUCCAUCCGUAGAGCUCGAGCGUACUAGCGAGAGAACAGUUUUAUUACUUUUUAGUUUUUGCCUAUGCUUAAUCGCAACGACGUCGUAAUGACUUAUAUUACAAAAGUUUACUGAUUAGUCUUAUAAGUGAAACAUUGUCUGCCUUCGCUCUUGUAGCUAGAUUGGUCUGCGAAGGCACUCUAUGUGCAACGUGUGACGCUUUCGAUGCUCGAGCAAGGCACACUUAUAAGAAAGAAACAGAAGACAAGAAGGUCGAGAUAUGUAUGUAUAUAUAUAUAAAUUUAUCAAUAACAUAUGAGGUAUUCUAAAAUAUCUCUUUUUAUAAAGGAAUAAUCAUAAAGCAAUUGAUAUAAUUCAUUUUGAUAAAAAAGUGAAAAAAAAAUCUGGGGAUAAGUUUUUUUAUGAAUUAUUUACCUAAAAUUAUAAAAAGGUUUUAGCAAAGUUGCUUUAAGUGAAUUGAACUAAAGAAAAUGGUUAAAUACUAACAUAUAUGCAUCGAAAAAUCACUAAAACACUGAAAAUUAUUAAAACACAAAAAUUUUAGAUAUUUUAGAAAUUAUAAUCUUUAGCAAAAUGGCUUUGAGUGAAUAGAACUUAAGAAAAUUGUUAAAAUACUAACUUAUAAAUGCGUCGAAAAUUUAUUAAAACACUGGAAUACUAGAGAUUGUUUAAACUAAAGCAUUUCCACUCGACUGAGAUAUAUAGACUUUUUUUCAUUUGAUUCUUGUGUUAUUAGGACCGGUCUUGGCCAAGCCAAGCGACAUUCGCUUGGACUUCCAAAAGUUUUGAAAAAAAUUCUAGGCCCCCAAAUUUGUAAAAAAGAAAAAAAAAUUAGGUUCCUAAAUUACCAAAAUCUUUAUUAAAUUGUCUAAGACCUCCAAAAUCGUAGAACUGGCCAUGCGUAUUAUAUCUUAUUCAUUUGCAUAUGGAUUAUCAUACAAAGACAUGUUCAACAACUUUUGUUGAAAGAAACCAAAAUGCUAAAAAAAAAAUAGUGAUCACAGUUCAAUCAUCAUCUUAUGAACCAUACACAACUUUGUUUUCCGUUUCAUUGGAUAAUGUGAUGUGAUGUAAGAAAGCCAUGUCUAUGUUCGGUUAAGGAGGAGACUCCGUUUCAUCGUCAUCAAAGGGAUUAAAGGAAGUUUUGCAGUCCAUCUGCUUUUUCGUAUCCGCCAUAGUUUGAAGCUUUGAACUCUGUCUCUUGCAUUUUGUGGUGUCCGUCAGACGUAUAACAUAUUAACCGGGAACUAGACCACCAUCUUAAGAAGCGGAAUUCACAUCCUCACACGGUUGGUGUUGUUUAUAUCCUGAAGGUGAUGAGAACAGUAGGUCUCUCACGUGUACAUCAAACAGACAUGUGAAGCAAGUUGCUAAACAGAGAAAGAGAAACACACUAGAUUAAAAAUUUGGACAAACAUAUAAAAUGGACAGAAUCCACAAGUGUUUAAGCUCCUGUUAAUACAAGUCACACUAGAAUCGAACAAGCUUCCAUUACAGUGUGGCAAUGUCAUAUACCAAUCAAAACUUAAAGAAAUUUGAUCUGUCAAAGAAAGGAAUCCUAGUGGAGCUAUCAGCAACUCCAUUAUCAGAUACAUUGUUUCUCACCAAUCAAGCUAUUCAAACCAGACCCUCGCCAACAAAAAGGGGAACUUAGAAAAUAAGGAUAUUUAUAGAUACUGAAUGAGCUAACCUGAAGAGGAGGAGGAGAAGUGCAGGACAUUGAUUCGUGAUGCUGAGAUUGAGACACCGUACUUCGAAAUCGAGGAGGAGAAGAAAAGGCGAUUGAUGUUCUCCAAGGAAGCAAAAACCUAACUAUGAGAAAGUGAGAGGUGGUCUCAGAAGCUUAGCGGAGGAGGUGUGGCUUAAGAUGGCCGGCGGGAAGAGAGUUCCAUGGUAGAGAGUAGAGAAAACACUUUGAUUUUUGCCCAUAAAAUUGGCAGCGACUUUGUAACAUUUGAUGUUUUAAGGAAAAUAAGAAUAGAACACAAACCGCUUUCGCUCUUAAAGCUUGACUGGUCUGCGAAGGCACUCUUAAGUGCAACGCGUGACGAGUUCAAUGCUCGAGCAAGGCAUGAAGAAGAAAAGACGAAAACAAGAAUGUUGGGGAUAUAUAAUGCAUAUGUAUGUUAUAUAUGUGUGUGUUCCCAUAUCAUUUGAGGUAUUCUAAAAUAUCUCUUUUUUACAAAAGGAUAAUCCUUAAACAUUUGUAAUAUCUUUUUUUUUGGACAACAACAUUUGUAAUAUCUAUUUUGCAUAAAACAUGAAGAAUUGGGGGUCCAUGUUUUUGCUAGGUUCUGUUCACGGAUGUUAAAAGUGAAAGUUUUUAGCCUAGUCCAACCAUAUAUAAUAUAAACCUAGCAUUAUUGUAAUCCUAACCAUUUUUAAUUCAUUUGUAAAUGAAUGAACUAAACCUUUUUUUUGGUCAAAAAAAAAAAAAAAAAAAAGGUUUAGUUUAUAUUAUGCAGGGUCCUAUCUGGUGGAUAUUAUGCUCAGCCGUAGGCUAUGGGCGGAGGAGAAGCAAUGCUAGACUGCUAGUCGCCGGCGGGGGAGAUACGAUGGUGAUGGGGUUUGUAGCUGAAUGAAACUAAUCCGACUCUGUACAAGCUGAUAGAACCCACCGUCUUCGCUACCACCAUUGGCUGUGUACAUGCAUGUACAGUCUACACACUUUUCACUAGUAGAAAUCUUGCUCAUAACCACGAAACAGCUACGAAAUUUUCGUGGCAAAUUUGAAAAUGCUACGAAAAUACUAUGAAAAUAAAACGUAGCAAACAAAAGCCACGAAAAUACAAUUCGUAUAUAAAUCGUAGCAAAAAAGUCACGAUACUGCCACAAGAUAAAACGUAGCAAACUAUAGCCACGAAAAAAGGUAGAAUAAAGUAAACAUAGUUAAUAAUUACUCCUAAAUUUCUAUUGGUUAAGAUAAGAGGGUGAGGAUCGCAAUUUUUGCCCAUUGAUUAAAUCAAAUCAAUGGUUCAGAUUCAUUUAUCUGUGCUUCUUUCUCUCUCUCCAAACUCUCUUCUCUCGAUAUCUUUUCCUAAUCUUAUUCUCUCCAGAACUCUAUCUCUUCAACAACACAACUCUGUCUUAAUCUCUCACAAUCACUCACAGCCCUCUUCUUCUCCAUCUACAACAACGAAGUUUAACAACAACCGUCACGCUCUUCACCACCACCACCGUCACGCUCUUCACCACCAUCACCGGAAGCUGGAGGAGGCAGAGCAGAUUGAUGGAGGAGGAGGUAGCAGAGGCGGUGACUCAUGAGCUGAGCCGGCUUAAAGAUUGAAGAUAAGAAGAAGCGUGACGGCGGAGGAGGCGUGAAUCGCUUCAUCCAUAACACCACCGGUGGCUCCAGAAACAAAUCGAGUCGCCGCUUCAGGCGUAGUAUCCGGAGGUGUCGGUGGUGAAGCUGGUGGCGGUACCGGUGGUUGAGCCGGCGUACAUAUUUGUGUAUAUAUAUAUGAUAUAUAUUUAUAAUUUGUUUUCUAUAUAUUUUGUAAUUUCAUUAAUAAAAAUUAAUUUUUUCUAAUUUA